rnacentral:rRNA from 1 species
AGCGAACGCUGGCGGCAGGCCUAACACAUGCAAGUCGAACGAACACUUCGGAGUUAGUGGCGGACGGGUGAGUAACACGUGGGAACGUGCCUUUUGGUUCGGAAUAACUCAGGGAAACUUGUGCUAAUACCGAAUGUGCCCUUCGGGGGAAAGAUUUAUCGCCAUUAGAGCGGCCCGCGUCAGACUAGCUAGUUGGUGAGGUAACGGCUCACCAAGGCGACGAUCAGUAGCUGGUCUGAGAGGCUGACCAGCCACACGGGGACUGAGACACGGCCCAGACUCCGACAGGAGGCAGCAGUAGGGAAUCUUGCGCAAUGCGCGAGAGCCUGACGCAUCCAUGCCGCGUGAAUGAUGAAGGUCUUAGGAUUGUAAAAUUCUUUCACCGGUGACGAUAAUGACGUUACCCGGAGAAGAAGCCCCUGCUAACUUCGUG